rnacentral:rRNA from 1 species
UACGUAGGGUGCAAGCGUUGUCCGGAAUUAUUGGGCGUAAAGGGCUCGUAGGCGGUUUGUCGCGUCGGGAGUGAAAACUCAGGGCUUAACCCUGAGCCUGCUUCCGAUACGGGCAGACUAGAGGUAUGCAGGGGAGAACGGAAUUCCUGGUGUAGCGGUGAAAUGCGCAGAUAUCAGGAGGAACACCGGUGGCGAAGGCGGUUCUCUGGGCAUUACCUGACGCUGAGGAGCGAAAGCAUGGGGAGCGAACAGG